CCUACGGGUGGCAGCAGUGGGGAAUAUUGGACAAUGGGGGCAACCCUGAUCCAGCCAUGCCGCGUGUGUGAAGAAGGCCCUCGGGUUGUAAAGCACUUUCAGUGAGGAAGAACGCCUGGUGGUUAAUACCCAUCAGGAAAGACAUCACUCACAGAAGAAGCACCGGCUAACUCCGUGCCAGCAGCCGCGGUAAUACGGAGGGUGCGAGCGUUAAUCGGAAUUACUGGGCGUAAAGCGCGCGUAGGUGGCUUGAUAAGCCGGUUGUGAAAGCCCCUGGCUCAACCUGGGAACGGCAUCCGGAACUGUCAAGCUAGAGUGCAGGAGAGGAAGGUAGAAUUCCCGGUGUAGCGGUGAAAUGCGUAGAGAUCGGGAGGAAUACCAGUGGCGAAGGCGGCCUUCUGGACUGACACUGACACUGAGGUGCGAAAGCGUGGGUAGCAAACAGGAUUAGAUACCCGUGUAGUC
rnacentral:rRNA from 1 species